rnacentral:rRNA from 1 species
GACGUAGGGCGCGAGCGUUGUCCGGAUUUAUUGGGCGUAAAGAGCUCGUAGGCGGCUUGUCGCGUCGUUCGUGAAAACUCACAGCUCAACUGUGAGCUUGCGGUCGAUACGGGCAGGCUAGAGUUCGGUAGGGGAGACUGGAAUUCCUGGUGUAGCGGUGAAAUGCGCAGAUAUCAGGAGGAACACCGGUGGCGAAGGCGGGUCUCUGGGCCGUAACUGACGCUGAGGAGCGAAAGCGUGGGGAGCGAACAGG